GACGAACGCUGGCGGCGUGCUUAACACAUGCAAGUCGAACGGUAAGGCCCCUUCGGGGGUACACGAGUGGCGAACGGGUGAGUAACACGUGGGUAAUCUGCCCUGCACUUCGGGAUAAGCCUGGGCAACCGGGUCUAAUACCGGAUAUGAACUCCUGCCGCCAGGUGGGGGUUGGAAAGUUUUUCGGUGCAGGAUGAGCCCGCGGCCUAUCAGCUUGUUGGUGGGGUAAUGGCCUACCAAGGCGACGACGGGUAGCCGGCCUGAGAGGGUGAUCGGCCACACUGGGACUGAGACACGGCCCAGACUCCUACGGGAGGCAGCAGUGGGGAAUAUUGCACAAUGGGCGAAAGCCUGAUGCAGCGACGCCGCGUGGGGGAUGACGGUCUUCGGAUUGUAAACCCCUUUCAGUAGGGACGAAGCGCAAGUGACGGUACCUGCAGAAGAAGCACCGGCUAACUACGUGCCAGCCGCCGCCGUAA
rnacentral:rRNA from 1 species